rnacentral:rRNA from 1 species
CAGCAUAUCAAUAAGCGGAGGAAAAGAAACCAACAGGGAUUGCCUCAGUAACGGCGAGUGAAGCGGCAACAGCUCAAAUUUGAAAUCUAGCCUCUUUCCGGGGUUCGAGUUGUAAUUUGUAGAGGGUGUUUCGGGCGCGGCGCCGGUCUAAGUCCCUUGGAACAGGGCGUCGCAGAGGGUGAGAAUCCCGUAUGUGACCGGCGACCAAGCCCGUGUGAAACCCCUUCGACGAGUCGAGUUGUUUGGGAAUGCAGCUCUAAAUGGGUGGUAAAUUUCAUCUAAAGCUAAAUACCGGCCAGAGACCGAUAGCGCACAAGUAGAGUGAUCGAAAGAUGAAAAGCACUUUGGAAAGAGAGUCAAAAAGUACGUGAAAUUGUUGAAAGGGAAGCGUUGGCGACCAGACCUGCCCGUGAGCGAUCAACCGUUGUUCUCAGCGGUGCACUCGUUCACGAACAGGCCAGCAUCGGUUUGGGCGGUCGGAUAAAGACCGCGAGAAUGUAGCUCCCUUCGGGGAGUGUUAUAGCUCGUGGUGUAAUGCGGCCAGCCGGGACCGAGGACCGCGCUUCGGCUAGGAUGCUGGCGUAAUGGCCGUCAACGACCCGUCUUGAAACACGGACCAAGGAGUCUAACAUCUAUGCGAGUGUUUGGGUGUGAAACCCAUACGCGUAAUGAAAGUGAACGGAGGUGAGAACCCUUUAGGGCGCAUCAUCGACCGAUCCAGAAGUUCUCGGAUGGAUUUGAGUACGAGCAUAGCUGUUGGGACCCGAAAGAUGGUGAACUAUGCCUGAAUAGGGUGAAGCCAGAGGAAACUCUGGUGGAGGCUCGCAGCGGUUCUGACGUGCAAAUCGAUCGUCAAAUUUGGGUAUAGGGGCGAAAGACUAAUCGAACCAUCUAGUA